GGUGGACACAAUAUCCUUAUUUUUUUUUUAAUGUGGUGCUGAGAAUCGAACCCAGUGCCUCACGCAUGCUAGGCGAGUGAACAACCACUUAAGCUGUAUAUCCCCAGCCCCAAAACUUGCACCUUCUUAACAUAUGCUAUUCAAUAAGCUUCAAUAUGUGUAGAGCUAUUACUAAGGUAUCCAAUCCAUCACCUCCAAAAAUUUUCUUGUGUUCCUUUGUUUUGUUUUGUUAAGUUGUGGUAAGAACAUUUGAUAUGAGAGCAACUCUUAUCAAAAUUUUCAAUGUACAAUAUUGUAUUAUUAUCUACAGGUACUACGUUGUAAGAAGAUUUCCAGGACUUAUUCAUAACUCUAACUUUAUAUUCAUUGAAAAGUUCUUCCUUCCUCCUCCCCUUAUCCCUGGCCACCACCAGCUGUUUUUCUGCUUCUAGCACUCUGACUAUUAGAUACAGUGCGUAUCCUUGUGCACUGUUAAUGCAGCUACUAUGGAAAGCAGUUCUCAUGGUCAACAGCUUAUUACCCCCAACACCAUCUGCUAAAUUACUAUUCAUUUCAAAUUUCCCUUUAAUUAUCAACACCAGGAGAAAACUCUCUGAAACUCUUGGGCAAUUUAAAAAACUAACACCAGUAAUUGAUCUGUUUUUUUGAUACACCUUUUUUCCUACACUAAUAAUAAGCUCUUAUUAGGAUUUGAUUUCAGAAUGAUUAGUCUGUCAGAAAGACUACUUUUCAUAAACUCAUAAGUGUUGACAGAUUAAACCCAAUGAUUAUCAGAGUUUGGGCUAUUCCUGUUUUUAUACAGAACUCACAGUCCAGUAAAGGUACACAUAGAAACUCAUUAGGCAAAACAGUUGAGAGUGGAACUUCGGGAUCAAGAGUCCACUGAAGAAGGGGGCUGGGAAGGUCAAUCCUCAGACCUUUGCUCAACCCCUUAUGCACACAUAGAGGACCUAGUGUAUCCCUAGAGCUUAAAGUAAAGGCACAGAUUUAAAUCCAUUAAAUCAGACAAUCCAAUGG
rnacentral:lncRNA from 1 species